UACGGGGGGGGCAAGCGUUGUUCGGAUUUACUGGGCGUAAAGGGCGCGUAGGCGGCCACCGCAAGUCGACUGUGAAAUCUCCGGGCUUAACCCGGAAAGGUCAGCCGAUACUGCGGGGCUAGAGUGCAGAAGGGGCAACUGGAAUUCUCGGUGUAGCGGUGAAAUGCGUAGAUAUCGAGAGGAACAACUGCGGCGAAGGCGGGUUGCUGGGCUGACACUGACGCUGAGGCGCGAAAGCUAGGGGAGCGAACGGG
rnacentral:rRNA from 1 species